AAGUCGUAACAAGGUUUCCGUAGGUGAACCUGCGGAAGGAUCAUUAAUGAGUUAGGGUCUCCGGGCCCGGCCUCCAACCCUUUGUUGUCACAAAACCAAUUGUUGCUUUGGCGUGGACCGCCCGCGAGGGCUGCCGGUCUCAGGCCCGGCAUGCGCCCGCCAGAGGAAAACCAAACUCUUGUUUAUCAAACCGUACGUCUGAGUAAAAAUGAUUAAAUCAAUCAAAA
rnacentral:misc_RNA from 1 species